rnacentral:rRNA from 1 species
AUGCCCGUUGGGCAUGAGGCGUCCUUGAGUGGCGAGGUUGAUGAGAUAGGUGUGGUGCCCAACUCUGAGGCCCUGUCAUGUGAGCAACUGGAGAUGUCUGAGUCCAUCGGGUUGGUUGUAUCUGUGGUUGAUGAUGCUCAGGUGAUUAAUAUGUUGGUGUCUGAUCCUUUGGAGCCUAGCCAGCUGCUCGCCGUUGUGGAGGAUGGAGGUUCUGAUGUUGCGGUAACCCACUCGCACGUGACUGUGAGGCAGAUUUCUGUGCGUGAGAAGGUCGAUGACAUUCUCUUUGAGUUAGAGCUUCAUAGCUUGCUUAAACGUUUGGAGGCGGCUAGCCCUGGAUCUGGCAAGGCGAUUGUGGAGGAGGCUCUUAGGAGCAAAGGAAAGAAGAGUGACGCCACAAAAAAGGCCUCGGCGGCUGCUUAA